CACACUCACUCAAAUGAACAAAAAUGAGUCGAUGAACAGAUAUGGGCCUCUCGUCGGCGCGAUUGACGAAGGCACGAGCAGCGCUAGAUUCCUGGUUUUUGCAGCAAAUACAGCAGAAGUCUUAACAUACCAUCAAGUUUCAAUAUCACAAACAUGUCCAAAAGAGGGAUGGGUUGAACAAGAUGCUUUAGAAAUAUUAAGAGCAGUCAGAGAAUGUCUUAAGCAGACUGUAUUUAAUUUAAGACAACUGACGAUAGAUCCAGCUGAUAUAGUUGCGAUUGGUAUAACAAAUCAGAGAGAAACUACAGUUGUAUGGGAUUGUGUCACAGGAGAACCACUUUAUAAUGCCAUAGUUUGGAUGGAUAUGAGAACCACAUCAAUUGUGGAUGACAUAUUGAAAGGUAUACGCAAUAAGAAUAAGAAUUACUUGAAGCCUCUUUGCGGUUUGCCAAUUAGCCCAUACUUUAGCGCAUUAAAGUUAAAAUGGUUAUUAGAAAAUGUACCUAAGGUUCAGGAAGCGUUAACUGCAAAUCGUCUCAUGUUUGGCACUAUUGAUUCCUGGCUAAUUUGGAAUCUGACUGGCGGUGCCAAUGGUGGUGUUCAUAGUACAGAUGUUACAAACGCUUCGAGAACAAUGUUAAUGAAUAUUGUGACUUUGAAAUGGGAUCCUACUUUAUUAUCAUUUUUCAAUAUACCUUCUAAAAUUUUACCUCAGAUACGAAGCUCUUCCGAGAUUUAUGGUUAUAUACAAGAUGAUCUGCUACAAGGAGUUCCUAUAUCAGGGGUUUUAGGUGAUCAGCAGUCAGCUUUAGUAGGUCAGAUGUGUUUGCAUCAAGGACAGGCAAAGAGUACUUAUGGAACUGGUUGUUUUCUUCUUUAUAACACUGGCACAGCUAUUGUGGAUUCAUCUCAUGGUUUAUUAACGACCGUAGCUUAUCAGUUGGGAGCAGAUGCUUCUCCGGUGUACGCUCUUGAAGGAUCUAUAGCUAUUGCGGGUGCCGUUGUACAGUGGUUGAAGGAUAAUCUUGGUAUACUAAAUGAUUUGAAAGAUUGUGAAGCUAUUAUCGAACAACUGCCCGCGGAUAAUCGCGUUAUUUUUGUACCGGCGUUUGCUGGACUUUACGCUCCAUAUUGGAGAAAAGACGCUCGAAGUGUCAUUUGUGGCAUUAGCGAAGAUACUAAUAGCGCACAUAUUGUCAAAGCAGCUUUGCAAUCAGUAUGUUUCCAAAUAAGAGAUAUUUUAGAAGCUAUGAAGGAAGAUACUGGUUUGGUAUUGUCAAAACUAUUGGUUGAUGGCGCGAUGACUACCAAUGGUUUGCUGAUGCAAAUGCAAGCUGACAUCUGUGGAAUUCCAGUGGUUAGACCACUGAUGUGCGAAACUACUGCACUUGGAGUUGCGAUUGCUGCGGGGAGCGCAGAAGGAAUACGUAAAUGGGGCGUGAAAAGUGAUACUGCCGUUCCCAGCGAUGUUUACUUGCCAUCAAUAACUGAGAAUGAACGUGAUAUUUUAUACUCCCAAUGGAAAAUGGGUAUUGACAGAAGCUUGGGUUGGGAGCCGCUUAUAAAAACAACAGAUGAUACAAAAGAUAUACAUAAAGCGACCGCGCCCGGUAUAUUUAUAAUUGGCACCAUAAUACUGCUUAUGUUUGCUAAAUACAGAUCUACUUUGUCAUAAAGUUUUACCACGUAUCGCAUUUAGGUAGCAAAGAUUGUGGAAGGAAUUGUUACCAUAUCUUCAUCAAACACUUUGGAUUCCUUAGUUGCUGGCAUUGCAAAUAUUCCCUAUGAACAUAGAAGAUAUGACCAAAGACAAUUUGUGAGAGGAUAUAUAAUCUUAUCUGUAUCGAUUAACUCUUACGACGAAUCUGCCACUGAUCGACGUUUGAGCGACGACUGAUGUCUCGAGCCAGAAGUUGCCGGAACCACUUGCGACUACGCUGCUCGUCGAUGUAAGUGUCGUGGCGUAUGACGUCGAGCAAACUACCGUUCUGCGCGUAUUCCAUAAUAAUGUACACUCUACGAAAAGCAGAUAUCAUCUGAAAAUGAAUCGACGUGGCUGGAGCCAACAAACUAACCGAUGCGUGGUUUCUAUGGCCUGCAGGAAGCGAAUCAGAUGUGGAUGCUUUAAU